GCCUGUGGGAUAGCACAGUCGGUAGAGCAAGAGGCUUUUAAUCUCAAGGUCGUGGGUUUGAGACCCACCUUGGGCA